rnacentral:lncRNA from 1 species
ACUGCAGUAGUGAAAAUGAAGCGCACGAUGGGCGGAAGCUAGGAAGACAAACAUAAAGAUGAAGUGCUUAAUUCAAGGUCACACAAUGUCGGGGAUGGACCUCCAGAUUUCCUUACUGGUGAGACGUGGUCUUGUAACACAGUGGUUAAGAAUGUGACUUUGGAGCCAGCCUGCUAGGGGCUGAAUUCUGACUCAGCCAUUUACUAACUGUGUGACCUUAGGGAGGAGGACCUGGUUGAUAGAAGAAUUUAUCUCGUAGUCUUAACAUCCACUGUAAUUCCAAACUUUGAGGACGAUAGAGAUCAGUGGGCUUUGACUGCCCAGCAUGCAGUCUCCAUUCUUAGGUGGGUUCCCAAGCCUGUAAAAUGUAAGCCUUAUGCUGCUGAGGGCCAUCUUGCCACCCUGAGGGAAACGCUGCCUGAGAAUGAAACAAGCAUAAGUAAAAGCUGAGCUGUGAGAUGGAGCAAGAUGAAGGCCACAUGACAUCUUUGGAGCACCUGGAUCUAACUGUGCCUUAAGCUAG